rnacentral:rRNA from 1 species
GGCGNGAGCGUUNUCCGGAAUUACUGGGCGUAAAGGGCGCGUAGGGGCUCAAGAAGUCAGGGGUGAAAUACCGCAGAUCAACUGCGGGGGCGCCUCUGAAACCAUUGGGCUUGAGGGCAGGAGAGGGGAGUGGAAUUCCCGGAAUAGCGGUGAAAUGCGUAGAUAUCGGGAGGAACACCAGUGGCGAAGGCGGCUCUCUGGCCUGGCCCUGACGCUGAGGCGCGAAAGUGGGGGAGCAAACAGGAUUAGAUACCCUGGUAGUCCACGCUGUAAACGAUGGGUGCUAGGUGUUGGGGGGGAUAGGACCCUUCAGUGCCGUAGCAAACGCAAUAAGCACCCCGCCUGGGAGUACGGCCGCAACUGAAACUCAAAGGAAUUGACGGGGGCCCGCACAAGCGGUGGAGCAUGUGGUUUAAUUCGACGCAACGCAAGAACCUUACCAGGGCUUGACAUCCCCUGACGGCCGUGGAACACGAUUUCACGGGAGAAAUCCUGACAGGGAGACAGGUGGUGCAUGGUUGUCGUCAGCUCGUGUCGUAAGAUGUUUGGUUUAGUCCCGCAACGAGCGCACCCCUACGKUUAGUUGCUACGGGUAAGCGGGCCCUCUAGCGGGACUGCCGUUGACAAACGGAGAAGGUGGGGAUGACGUCAAAUCAUCAUGCCCCUUUAUGUCCUGGGCUACACACGUGCUACAAUGGCCGGUACAAAGG